ensembl:snoRNA
UCCCUCCCGAUCCCUUUCCCAUCAGAUCUGAAUACCGAUCUUGUGGUCGAAAAAGGAGGAAAAGUAGAAUGCAAACUGGUCUCGGCCUCUUUGCUGGUACAGUCUUGCUCUGAGAAGGGCCAGUUUGAAGACAUUG